rnacentral:rRNA from 1 species
GAUGAACGCUAGCGGCAGGCUUAACACAUGCAAGUCGAGGGGCAGCACGGGUAGCAAUACCUGGUGGCGACCGGCGCAAGGGUGCGUAACGCGUGAGCAACAUGCCCUAUACAGGGGGAUAAUCCAGGGAAACUUGGUCUAAUAUCCCAUAGUAUUUAGAGGAGGCAUCUUCUAUAAAUUAAAGCUUCGGUGGUAUAGGAUUGGCUCGCGUGACAUUAGCUAGAUGGUGAGGUAACGGCUCACCAUGGCAAUGAUGUCUAGGGGUUCUGAGAGGAAGGCCCCCCACACUGGGACUGAGACACGGCCCAGACUCCUACGGGAGGCAGCAGUGAGGAAUAUUGGACAAUGGAUGGAAAUCUGAUCCAAGCCAUGCCGCGUGCAGGAAGACAGCCCUAUGGGUUGUAAACUGGACUUUUAUAUGGGAGCAAUAAGGUCUACGUGUAGACUGAUGAGAGUACCAUAUGAAUAAGC